UGCAUCACGACCCCGUGUUGAAUCAUGGGGACCAUUAUCCUCUCCUCCUCAUCCUGUUCUCCUCUCAUCCUCCUCUCCACGACCUCAUCCUCCUCUAAAUGCCGCCUCUUUCCUCCUAAUGCCUAACCUCCUACUCUCUUCUCUCUUUCCCUUUCUUGCCACUCCACUCACUCCUUGUACCUUCCACACUCUUACUCUGUACAUCAAUAAAAUCCAUUUGGCACAUGAUUAUGCUCAGCCACAAAAUGGGAUGGAGGUGCUAUUUUUAGCCGGCUAAGGGAGGAGAGGGAGGGCAUGGGAGCGAGAGAGAGAAAGGGGGUGGGAUAAACCGUUCUUUUCGUUCUGUAGCUGUAUGUUGGUCGGAGGCACAGAGCUCUGGGGUAGCUUGGCUAGAGACAGCGAGAGGAUUGAGAGGCAACGAAAACGAGCAAACGACACCACCAGAAACACAAAUAAGACACAGGCAUGCGACCCCGCUCCAGACUCCUGGCUAAGAGGUGCCUGCCCACCAUCAGGGAGGGCUAUGAGGAGCUGGUCCAGGACAUGAACCAGGCCAACAGCCGCCACCUCCCUCCCCAUGGUCAGGUACACUCACUGUCUACCCAUGACUACUUCCUGUCCAUCUGCCAGCUCGCCCGACCAACCUUCCCCCAGGGAGAACCUGACUGUGACAUCCUCACGGUGGGCGCUCUGGCCUCCCUGAGGCCUUGCCUGAGGCUGCACAGACUGAGGGACCCUGUGCCACCCUGUCAGCCUCUGAUCUCUAAGGUCAGCCGCCACACACAGUUAGAGCAAGAGGAGAGUCAGAAUGAGUGUAGUGGCCCAGAGAGAGUGGUGGAUGUCAGUUCACGUCAGACCUCCAGUAGGGUUGUCCCCAGUGUCUCUGACCCCUUGGAGUUCCUCUACGGUCACAGGGAAGGACUCCUUUCAGCCGCCUGUCGCGCCCAUGGCUCACAGGGCUGGAUGGGUGAAGGGAGUCAGAGUGCGACCCAGCGUCGACCACAACCCCCGGUACGUGCCAACAGUUUCCCCCGCAUGUGUUCCUCACCCCUGACCCAGCGCAAAAACAGCUGCCGUGAGCUAUGGCUGGUGGACCCCACUGACCAAAAGAAGCCAAACCCUGACCCUGCUCCACCACAGACAUCCUCAUCAGACCAGCAGAAACCUGAUGCCUCCAGCUCAUUCUCAUGGAGGUUCCAGAAUGACCCAGACAGGGCACCUGCAGGUGAGAGGGGGAAGUGCACACGCUACAUGGACAAUCACACAAUGGUAUCACACUGGAUCGCUGACUGUCGCUCGGCCUGGAGAGAAGCAAGAAUCAGGGCGUGCAUGCUUCCUGCCAUCGCAGAGAUGUAAACUUGUGUAGCGUUGUUAAUUCCCACUUUUAAGUAUUGUACAUUAUGGAUCCUUGAUGUACUUAUGUACCGCUUAAUUGGUACAUUUGGACAAUGCAGGUCCAUGUGGUAACAUGUACAAAUUGAGUUUUCAUGCCUGCCCUUUUUGUACAGUAUGUAGUGUAAGACAUAUUGUAGACUAGCGUAUGCCUCACACAUAUUACAGUAAGUGGAAUGUUGACAGUGCUUAGAAGACAUCAGAUUUUGGAAGGAUGAUCACGCGAGACAAGUAUUAGGGAGAGUAAAGAUGUGUGGAAAAGAUGCAGAAUUUGCUAUAAGGAUUAUGCACAAAGACAUAUGACUAAGAAAAAUGACAGAUCAUAAUCUUUACUAUUGAGUGAGUGAUAGCUCACUCCAUUAUUGACAAAUGAUAACUCUGGUCAAAUAAAAACAUUCUACUUUUCAUAAAAAUGGGAAUGGUACAGUUUUAGAAUCAGAACGGAGGAUAAUGUGAUCCUAUAGCUAGUUCAGGCUCCCUGUAGGAGAGCAUUCAAACUCAGAUUAUUCUCAGUGGUUCUGAAAAUGUCUCUUGCGAUUUCCUCUCUCAUGUAUGAUAUGAGUUAUGCAAUGACAAUGUAGAUCUGUGCAAAACUGAUGAGUCUAUUUAAAUCUUCCACUAAGUAAAGCCAUGAUGAAACAGUACAUCAUAUUCACACUGAGUGAAACAGCAUGUGACGUUGUAUAUUACUUUUUGAUUGUGUUUAAUGGUCCUCCAUGACAGUACAAUGAACUCUGUGUCAAAAUAUACAAAUGGAAAGAAAACAGUAUAAUUAACUUGUAAAUGCUUGACAAUACAAUCGUUUGAUCUUGUAUGGUAUGGCUUUUCUAACUCUGUCCAUUUUUGGCUCGUAAUCUAAUAAAAUUAUGUGUUUUACCCUGCCUCUGAGUGUCCAAAACCUAGACCGGUUGCACUAGGAAAUAUAUCCGUAUAGUGCAAGAUAAACAAGUUAUCCAAAACCCUUCUGUGAUGGGGAGAUAAUAAAAUUGAAGUCCUG
rnacentral:lncRNA from 1 species